rnacentral:rRNA from 1 species
CGGACUCAACGCCGGGAAACUCACCAGAUAAGACAGCUGAAUGAUAGUCGGGCUGAAGACUCUACUUGACUAGCUGAGAGGAGGUGCAUGGCCGUCGUCAGUUCGUACUGUGAAGCAUCCUGUUAAGUCAGGCAACGAGCGAGACCCACGCCAACAGUUCGCCAGCUCGUCCUCCGGGAUGGUGGGGACACUGUUGGGACCGCUCUGCUAAAGAGGAGGAAGGAAUGGGUAACGGUAGGUCAGCAUGCCCCGAAUUAUCUGGGCUACACGCGGGCUACAAUGGGUGGGACAAUGGGUAUCGACACCGAAAGGUGAAGGCAAUCUCCUAAACCCAUCCGUAGUUCGGAUUGUGGGCUGCAACUCGCCCACAUGAAGCUGGAAUCUGUAGUAAUCGUGUCUCAAAAUGGCACGGUGAAUAUGUCCCUGCUCCUU